rnacentral:rRNA from 1 species
GACGAACGCUGGCGGCGUGCUUAACACAUGCAAGUCGAACGGAAAGGCCCUGCUUUUGUGGGGUGCUCGAGUGGCGAACGGGUGAGUAACACGUGAGUAACCUGCCCUUGACUUUGGGAUAACUUCAGGAAACUGGGGCUAAUACCGGAUAGGAGCUCCUGCUGCAUGGUGGGGGUUGGAAAGUUUCGGCGGUUGGGGAUGGACUCGCGGCUUAUCAGCUUGUUGGUGGGGUAGUGGCUUACCAAGGCUUUGACGGGUAGCCGGCCUGAGAGGGUGACCGGCCACCUUGGGCCUACGGUACGGCCCAGUCUCCUACGUGCGGCAGCAGUGGGGAACAUUGCACAGUGGGCGGAAGCCUGAUGCAGCAACGCCGCGUGCGGGAUGACGGCCUUCUGGUUGUAAACCGCUUUCGCCUGUGACGAAGCGUUAUUGACGGUAAUGGGUAAAGAAGCACCGGCUAACUACGUG